UUUAAUAAUAUCCUACUUUUGUACAACAGGAAAAGGUACAUUAUGACAGGCAGAGGAAAAGUUUUAGUAGAACUUUGCAGAAAUAAAAGUAUGUGCGAAGAUUAUGAAAAUAAUGAAUUAUUUUUGAUAAACAAUAAUAUUCCUACAGAAGUCCAGCUUAAUCACAAAA
rnacentral:lncRNA from 1 species